GACAGGGGGGGCAAGCGUUGUCCGGAGUUACUGGGCGUAAAGGGCGCGGAGGCGGUCUGCGGCGUCGGCGCUGAAAGCGCCCCGCUUAACGGGGCGAGGCGUGCCGAUACGUGCAGGCUUGAGGCGAGCAGAGGGUGGUGGAAUUCCGGGUGGAGCGGUGAAAUGCGUAGAGAUCCGGAGGAACGCCAGUGGGGAAGCCGGCCACCUGGGCUCGGCCUGACGCUGCGGCACGACAGCGUGGGGAGCAAACCGC
rnacentral:rRNA from 1 species